AAACUAACAAGGAUUCCCCUAGUAACGGCGAGUGAACCGGGAAGAGCUCAAAUUUGAAAUCUGGCGUGCUCAGUGCGUCCGAGUUGUAAUCUAUAGAGUCGUUUUCCGUGCCGGACUGUGUCCAAGUCCCUUGGAACAGGGUAUCAAAGAGGGUGAUAAUCCCGUACUUGACACAAUGACCGGUGCUCUGUGAUACGUCUUCUACGAGUCGAGUUGUUUGGGAAUGCAGCUCAAAAUGGGUGGUGAGUUCCAUCUAAAGCUAAAUAUUGGCGAGAGACCGAUAGCGAACAAGUACCGUGAGGGAAAGAUGAAAAGCACUUUGGAAAGAGAGUUAAACAGUACGUGAAAUUGUUAAAAGGGAAACGAUUGAAGUCAGUCGUGACUGAGAGGCUCAGCCGGUUCUGCCGGUGUAUUCCCCUCAGUCGGGUCAACAUCAGUUUUGUUCGGUGGAUAAGGGCAGUUGGAAGGUGGCACCCUCGGGUGUGUUAUAGCCAGCUGUCGCAUACAUCGGAUGAGACUGAGGAAUGCAGCUCGCCUUUAUGGCCGGGGUUCGCCCACGUUCGAGCUUAGGAUGUGACAAAUUGG
rnacentral:rRNA from 1 species